rnacentral:misc_RNA from 1 species
CAGAAAGUGAGAUUCAAAUCCUUUCACUCUCAUAUGCUAAACCUUUUGCCUUACUCUGGGUCAUCAGAGAAAUUUAGGUGAGAAUGUAUGAUGAAGUCUGUGUUUUAGAUUCAAUGCAGAUAUAUCAUUGUGGGCAGAACUCUUUCUGGUUAUAUCCAGUUAAGAGUAAAUCAGGCUUUCAGCCGGGCGCGGUGGCUCACGCCUGUAAUCCUAGCACUUUGGGAGGCCGAGACGGGGUUUCACCUUGUUGAUCAGGCUGAUCUCCAACUCCUGACCUCAGGUCAUCCACCCACCUCCGCCACCGUGCCCGGCCGAAAUUUGUGAUUUUAUAACUAAGAAUUUUUAGUUAAGAACAUUAUCAGUAAAGACAACGUAAUCCCACCCUGGAGAGUUUAUUGGGAGCCCAGGAAUAUUCAUUUUUAAUACACACACACACACACACACACACACACACACACACACACACACUGAUCAGAGUAACGGGAGUUUCUCUCAGGAGUCAUACUCCAUGAGCCUGGACCCAGUGGUUCUUUAUGUGGAAACAAAUUUCACCUAUAGGUAACCUGGUAACUGCUAUUUUCUUCUGUGUGCUCUGUCAACAAAGGUAUCAGUGGCUUGCAGGAGAUGCCUUUAAUACUCAGAGCAUUCUAUCUCCCCCUAUCUGGUUUAGAAGGAAGGCCUUCAUUAGUUACCUUUUGAGAAGUUACUAGAACUCUCUAUUAGAGACUUACCCUCCUGACCUGAUAAAAAGGGAUACCCAUGUCUCUAUUAACAGCUUUAUCUCUUUCUACAGUUUUGGGUAUUUGAUAAGGUUAAGGCAAAAUUUUAGUUAUGCUUAAGGAGGAGUUCUUUUUUCACAAUUACAGAGAAAAUUUUGGUUUGUUGAAGAUUGCAGAAACAGCAAUGGUAAUGUAAGACAGUUUUGGCCUUUAAUUUUUUUCUUGAAACUCUACAGUAUACUACAAUAGUGAAGGAAACUAUUAUCAUGAGAGAUCCUUCUGAAUAGGAUGUCUUUCUGAGUUCCACUAUUCAGUUACAAAACUCCUUAAUGCUUAAAAUUCAUUAUGAAAAUUAGAUUUAUUUUAAAUACUUUCAAGUGUAUACAUUUUUAUUUCAUAAUUUUUAUUGUCUUUUAACUAAAGCAUUUAGUUCAUUUAUAUUUACUGUGUACCUUUUAUAUUUAAUAAAUAUAUUUACUUAUUAAAAGAUUACCACUGA